ensembl:lncRNA
GUGUUGUUUGAGUUUCUAACCUAUUUGAGUAACAGUUGCAUUUAUGGCUCAGUUCUCACAACUGAUGUCCCAUAAUUGCAGCUGAGAAAUGCUUCUUGUGGUGUCAGUCCAUUCCAGAACUCGUAUUCUUUUCCUUGCAGAUGUUUGUGUGUGUAGUCUAUCCUUCAUGGAAAUGAACUGCAGGCUGUGGUGAAUGUUAAAAUAGCUUCUUAGAUCUCUGCACAGAAUGAAAUGGCAGAGAAUUCUUGCCAGGCUUUUGAUAUGCAGGUGCAGUACUAGAAUUAUUCUUUGGAGAUAAGAAAAAUUUCCAGGACAGACAUGUCAGACGGAGACAUGGAAUGCUGAUACAUUUUGAGCCAGACAUAUGUGACCUAUGCAAAUGAACUGCAGUGCAAUCCACUGAACAGACAGCGGACUGAGAAUGAAUAGGUAUGUGUUCUGCUCUUUGCUUCUGGCUCACAGGAGAUCAUCUUAUGUUCAUAUCCCCCAUAUGAAUCGUGAUGCUCACGCCCCAUGCACCCUUACUGAGAUUAGCUGGUAACAAGCCCAGAGAUCUGUGUGAGGAGAACUUUCCCUUGUGAGAGCUGAAACAAUAAAAGGCUUGUUAUUCUGAAGUGGACAGCGAGCAAAGAGCAGGCAGAGCAUAUCCAACUCUAGCUGCAAGCUGUGAAGGUGGUUGGUGGUCCCCAGUACUCUUAACUUUUCAUCCUCUUGGGGUCAUACAUCUGAGAGAGCUGCAUGUGGACAACCUAAUUAAUCGACAUCAGACCUUGUGCUCUGUGCUUGGCUGGCUGUGUUGAGCUGCAGGAGAAAAAGCACACAGAGAGGCAGGAGGGGAACUCUUUCCACCUGAUUGAAGAAGGAGAAGAGAAGGCUAGAAGGAUUGGGCAGUUUGGGUAAAGGAGGCAGAGCUGCCAGAGUUCUGUGGAACACAGGGGAGGAGGAGGUUCAGGGGGGUGGUAGUGUUGCACACAGCUACCAGGGGAUUUACCUUGGAGCCUGAUGGCAUUACUUUCAGCUUGGCUUUUUUCCACCUCAGCCAGCUGGGCAUUGGCUUCAGACAGCUUAUCUUUCAGCUUGUGAGCGUGAGCAUCUGAGUCCAAUGGUAAGAAUGGUUAGUCAUAUGAUGCUGAGUAAGGCUUGAAGAGCUACAGUAUCCUCCCUCCCCUGCAAACUCAGUUGAUUUCUGUUGGUUGUAAUUAGAAUGAGAUGACUGUAGUAGGCAGGGAGAGUGCAAAUUGGUCUGAUCUUUAGAGAGGGGAGAUGCCUGUUUUGUUAGCCAUGCUGGGCAGUGUUUGGCAUCAGUCUGCAAAUGGCUGCUUUGUGGUAUCAGCUGGCUCACAUCUGUCUUGUGCUGUGGAUCUUGGAGGUGCUUUAUAAGAAAGGCUUCUGCAAGGCUUUUAUUUAGCCUUCAUAGGCUCUUUAUCUGAGUCAUAUCCAUCUUUGGUGCUGCUCUGUUACAGGGUUGGUAUCUUUCAGAACAGUUAACCAUCUUCACGCCUCAUUGCUAAAGCUCACCGUUGAUCUGCAGUCCAGAGAACAUGUAUUUCCCUUGCAAAGCAGCAGAAAAUAGGCUGAACAGUCUUGCUUUAUCUUUUUACUGUGUAUGACUGAAUUGGCAGCUUUCUAACAAACCUCUGAUCAACUUCUGCUCAACCCCAGAGGAAUGGGAAAGCUCACAGCCAAUUUCAUGGAGCCUCGUGGGUUUUGUUUUUGUUGUUUGUUUGGGAAGGUUGGAUCAGGUCUGCCCUGCUUAGGAGCCUAGAGAAGCUGCUGAAGAAACUUCUUUGGAGAGUUCCAGUGAUAUCUCAUUCUCUGAAGAAAGAAACAAGGUGUUCAGACGUAGCUGGAGGUAUCUGACCUGGGUGCAGCUGUUGUAACACCAGUGUCUUUCCAGGGAGUGGAGAUCCAUAAGAUCACAAGGCAGAUCCCUUCCUUGGUUCUCCACCUAGUGGGAAAGAGGGAAAGAAGUUCUUAUUCCCUGUGAGGAGCCUGUGAGUGCAUUCUUGGCUUCCAUCUCUUCUUCCAGCCCUUCAGUAUAAGGGCCUGGAGAGUGCACCACAAACACAGCAGUGUCUGUGACUGAGAGAUGCAAGAUAAACUUGUGUGGAUACAAACGAGUCUUUAUUUCUUUACUCCCUCCUCUGUGUGCUUGCCAGGUCUACAGGAUUAUUUUUUCCUGGGAAAGGUCUACAGCUGGGAAUACUUAGCCAAGGAAACAGGAAAGGUGUGGCUGUGUGUCUUAGUAGACAACUGGUAUUAUGUGCAGCAUCAGUGGCUUGCUCUGCUGUGUUGGAAUCUGGCCAUUGGCGAUGUAAUGGAGCUGAUUUGGUUACUUGAGGGGAAAUAGGUGCUUGUUCACAGGAACAGCUGCAGGCCCAGGUUUGUGGGUUGCUUUUUUGUUGUAGAAAUGCUGGGGUUUUGAUUAGGUAUUUUGAUUAAGUAUUUGGGCAUUGAAAUAUGCCAGCUGAAGAACAUUUGAAUUCAGAAUGGCAGUACUUUGUGAGCUGUGUUCCCAUUUUUGGUUUUAUUUACCACCUUUCCUUGCGUGGUGAGUGGAACAGUACCUUGCAAGAGCUGCUAUAGGGGGGAAAAAAAGGUCAAGUUCUACGUAGGGAAAGACAAAUCCCAUAUCUCAGCUGAUUCUAUUGCUUAAGAGUGUAAAGAGAGAUUGGCCCCAGAAUCCAUUUUAACAGGGUAGGCUUAAAAGGUCUGUGUUGUUCUUCUAUGCAACUCGAUCUUAUCAAAAAAAAGAUAAAGCUGCAUGAGCAGGCUGCUAUGGGUUAAGAAAAGGUAGGAUGUUAUCUCACAUGAGCUAAGCCAAAUAAGUGUUACCUCUCUGUAGCUAACAGGUUAAUCUUUGUUCAGAGUGAAGCAGAAUUUAACGUCCUGUCUCUGGCCUUAAAGUCCAUUUGCCCUUUGUCAAAGCUCUUUGUUGCCCCAUCGUCAACUUGUCUGUAAGUAGAGGUGUGAGCACCCCAAGGAGCUGCAUGGUCUGUGGUGUGAAGCACAAAUAUCAGCACUCUGUAGUUUUUUUCCAUCUAUAUUUGAGACUUCCAGUGGCUCUGCUCUGAAGCACAGGUAACCUAUACUCCCUAAAAGCUUUGUGUUAGGAUUUGUGUUAGCAAAUCAUGCCAGUAUUUAUUCAUGGUCUUACAUGUUGCAUUAGGUAACUAGGUAGAUCAGCAGUUUGGAUAAUACGGAGCUGUAAAUAUGUAUUCUGCAAAGCUUAUUUCUGUGGGGAGGUUUGUCAGAAGUGCUGGCAGACCCAUAACAAAAGUAAUUGAUGAUGACACUAGAAUAAAUUCAAUUUGUGAUAAUAUUCUGCCUUUCUAAAGCAGUUUUUAUCUGAGGAUCAUAAAUAAAGCCUUACAUCAACAUAGAAUCAGUUAAUCCUCAUAACUUCCCAGUGAUUAUACACACUUUAUACGUGGGUGACUGUGGGAGUUGAAUUACAAAUAUCAGACAAUGAGUCAGAGAAAAACUUAGGAACAGAACCAUGUAUUUCUGAUUUGAUUUACCUGAGCAGCUGAACUGUACUUCUGCUUGGCAUUGUGUUACUACUGAUGAGAGCGAGGUAUGGCUGUGGAUUUUCCUUUGUGACUUUCUAGUUCAGCAACUUUACAGGUGUAGCCAAUGCUGUCGGAGCUAUGAUGUAGCACAGCUGUGCUCAAUAGGAUUCCAUACCCUGGAGAAUUCCCUUAAAGCUGCCACCUCUUUACAGUGUCUUCCAAGAUCAGUUUGGCUCGUUCCAUCUCAUGGAGGUUAUUGAUUGUAAUUUUGAGGUCACCUCUGCUUUAUGACAACACUUCUCUGCCUUACUGUGGAUGUUUUCUCAUUCCCAGUUGCCCUGCAGCUAACUGAAAAACAUGGCUUCAAUGUGAGAAGUAACUGAAGCACACAUUGGCAGUGGGUGGCAGAAGGGCCCAAGGUUUCAAAAGCAAACUGCAUGGGACCGCUGAAGAAACAGUCCAUUGAAAACCCACCUCAUGUAAGUUUUAGGCAAAGGUGGUCUCCAGCCCUUUCAAGCAGAAUUUCAAGUUGCUGAGCUCAUCCUCCAGCACCACUUGGUACUACUCAGGGUAGCACUUCCAUUGCCAGGAUCCAGCUCAGUAGAACAGUCCAUCUUUGCUCUCAUCAUUUGGCCCAAGCACACCUCAGCACCCAGCAAGUUCCCUCAUUCCUACUGAAGAGAUGGGAAUCCAGUGUUCAUCCUGAGUACCCUGCUACACCUUCUGCUUCCGUUUCCAUUUGCAAGAAGUGUUUGCUGCUUCUGUGGAAUUUAUUAAAGAUUUCUUUAAUAA